rnacentral:rRNA from 1 species
ACGGCUCAGUAACACGUAGUCAAUCUACCCUAUGGACGGGGAUAACCUCGGGAAACUGAGGAUAAAACCCGAUAGAUCAUAGUGCCUGGAACGGCUUAUGGUCCAAAUGAUUCGUCGCCGUAGGAUGGGACUGCGGCCUAUCAGCUUGUUGGUGAGGUAAUGGCCCACCAAGGCUAUUACAGGUACGGGCUCUGAGAGGAGAAGCCCGGAGAUGGGUACUGAGACACGGACCCAGGCCCUAUGGGGCGCAGCAGGCGAGAAACCUUUGCAAUGUGCGCAAGCACGACAAGGUUAAUCCGAGUGUUUCCUGCUAAAGGAAUCUUUUGUUAGUUCUAAAACCACUGAUGAAUAAGGGGUGGGCAAAGUUCUGGUGUCAAGCCGCCGCGGUAAAACCAGCGCCUCAAGUGGUCAGGAGGAUUAUUGGGCCUAAAGCAUCCGUAGCCUGUUCUAUAAGUUUCCGGUUAAAUCCAUUAGCUUUAACUAAUGGGCUGCCGAAAAUACUGUAGAACUAGGGAGUGGGAGAGGUAGACGGUACUCGGUAGGAAGGGGUAAAAUCCUUUGAUCUAUUGAUGACCACCUGUGGCGAAGGCGGUCUACCAGAACACGUUCGACGGUGAGGGAUGAAAGCUGGGGGAGCAAACCGGAUUAGAUACCCGGGUAGUCCCAGCUGUAAACGAUGCAGACUCGGUGAUGCGCUGGCUUGUGGCCAGUGCAGUGCCGCAGGGAAGCCGUUAAGUUUGCCGCCUGGGAAGUACGUACGCAAGUAUGAAACUUAAAGGAAUUGGCGGGGGAGCAC